CCCAGACCACCGGCUAAGGUCCCAAAGUGCGUGUUAAGUGGAAAAGGAUGUGGGAAUUCGAAGACAACUAGGAUGUUGGCUCAGAAGCAGCCAUACAUUCAAAGAGUGCGUAACAGCUCACUAGUCGAGAGUUCCUGCGCCGAAAAUGUCCGGGGCUGAAACACGACACCGAAGCCGUGGACUCGCAAUGCGAGUGGUAGAGGAGCAUUCUUAAAACCGACGAAGCUGUACCGAAAGGAGCAGUGGAGGGAUAAGAAGAGAGAAUGCCGGAAUGAGUAGCGAGAGAAAGGUGGGAAUCCUUUCGGCCGAAUAUCUAAGGUUUCCAGAGUAAAGCUGAUCUGCUCUGGGUAAGUCGGGGCCUAAGCACAGGUCGCAAGACGUAAGCGAUGGAUAACAGGUUUAGAUUCCUGUACCACGCAUUAUCAGAACUGUAGGGACGCAUGUGGAAAGCACGAGCCGGGAAUGGAAAGACCGGUACAAGCGGGGUAGGUGUACGAUAGGCAAAUCCGUCGUAUGAUCCGAAGACGUGAUGUGGAGCGAAAUAAAGUAGUGAAGCGUGUGAGCCAUGUGCCGAGAAAAGCUGCUAUUGUGUAAUGCGUGCCCGUACCGUAAACCGACACAGGUGGAUGAGGAGAGAAUCCUAAGGCCGACGGAAGAAGCAUUGUUAAGGAAUUCGGCAAAAUGACCCCGUAACUUCGGGAGAAGGGGUGCCUGCGAGAGCAGGCCGCAGAGAAUAGGCUCAAGCAACUGUUUAGCAAAAACACAGGUCUAUGCGAAACCGAAAGGUGAGGUAUAUGGGCUGACGCCUGCCCGGUGCUGGAAGGUUAAGAGGAGAGGUUAGCGCAAGCGAAGCUUUGAAUUUAAGCCCCAGUAAACGGCGGCCGUAACUAUAACGGUCCUAAGGUAGCGAAAUUCCUUGUCGGGUAAGUUCCGACCCGCACGAAAGGCGUAAUGAUUUGAGCGCUGUCUCGACAAUGCAUCCGGUGAAAUUGAAGUACCAGUGAAGAUGCUGGUUACCUGCGCCAGGACGGAAAGACCCCAUGGAGCUUUACUCCAGUUUGGUACUGGGAUCCGGUACUGCAUGUACAGGAUAGGUGGGAGGCUGAGAAUCGGUAACGCCAGUUGCCGAGGAGCCGCUGUUGGGAUACCACCCUUGCAGUAUUGGGUUUCUAACCAGCCGCCGUGACCCGGCGGUGGGACAAUGCCAGACGGGGAGUUUGACUGGGGCGGUCGCCUCCGAAAGGGUAUCGGAGGCGCCCAAAGGUUCCCUCAGAAUGGACGGAAACCAUUCGAAGAGUGCAAAGGCAGAAGGGAGCUUGACUGCGACACCGACGG
rnacentral:rRNA from 1 species